ACUACGUGAGGCAGCAGUGGGGAAUAUUGCACAAUGGGGGGAACCCUGAUGCAGCGACGCCGCGUGGGUGAAGGAGUAUUUCGGUAUGUAAAGCCCUAUCAGCAGGGAAGAACAAUGACGGUACCUGACUAAGAAGCACCGGCUAAAUACGUGCCAGCAGCAGCGGUAAUACGUAUGGUGCAAGCGUUAUUCGGAUUUAUUGGGUGUAAAGGGAGCGCAGGCGGCGCGUUAAGCCGGGUGUGAAAGCCCGCGGCCCAACCGCGGGACUGCAUUUGGAACUGGCGCGCUGGAGUGCCGGAGGGGUAGGCGGAAUUCCUAGUGUAGCGGUGAAAUGCGUAGAUAUUAGGAGGAACACCAGUGGCGAAGGCGGCCUACUGGACGGUGACUGACGCUGAGGCUCGAAAGCGUGGGGAGCAAACAGGAUUAGAUACCCUGGUAGUC
rnacentral:rRNA from 1 species